rnacentral:lncRNA from 1 species
AUUGUAGUGGCAGUGUUUGAUCUGCGGCAUUUAAUGACUUCUCAUGAUUUCUAUCAUCUUCAUAGAUAUUUGCUCCAGGCUGAAAGCUGACUCAAGUUGAAGGGAAGUCAUAAAGUAUUUUUUUCCCCAUAGUGUUCUCCAUGUCUCAUCGACUCUGGUAAACUUUCUCACUUCACAAAGAGAACAUAAGCUUCGUCUAAACUGACUAUCACGAGAGGAAGAAAAUAAUAAUUUUUACAUAGCAAGAACACAAGAUUUCAAGGUAAUUUCUACAUUAGUGAAUAUGUAUUGUCAGUUAGACUUGCUGUAAACAUUUCUGAAAUGAAUUCA